UCACAUUGGUGGACAUUGUGAAUGCACAAUUCCAUCAUUUCCUCUAUCAUCUUCAUAUACCAGAACUUUAAGUCAUUCCCCAGUAGAUGGACAUCCCUUCAAUUUCCAAUUCUUUGCCACCACAAGAAGAGCAUAUAUAAGGUACUACUUGUUUUAAAGGACUAAUUCUAUUUAUGUUUUUAGUUAGGUUUUCUUGCCUUUUUUUUGUUUUGUUUUCUAUGUGUGUGUAUUCUAAGUAUUUCCAAGAUAUUUAAAUUAUUAUUAAUUAUUUUGCUAUUAUAUAAUUUCAUUUCUGAAUAAUUCCCAUAGAAGUAAUCCUCUCAUAAAACAAAUAUUUCAGAGAAUGAGAAAAAUAAAAGAAUCAACCAUAUCUGCUAUAUAUAAGUA
rnacentral:lncRNA from 1 species